GAAAGGGUGCUUUUAUGAGAUAGAGCUUUUUUAGAUAAUGCUUUUUUAGAUAAUGCUGGGGAAGGUUUUCCGGUUUAUCUCGGAGGGCUUGUAGCUCAGUUGGUUAGAGCGCGCGCUUGAUAAGCGUGAGGUCGGAGGUUCAAGUCCUCCCAGGCCCACCAAUUUACCUAUCCAUUUGCCUUUAUCCGUUUAUUUGCCGAUUUAUCGGUCCAUUGAAUUUAAGUGUUGGUAGCAGUUUUAUAAUGAUGAGAAAUCAUGCUUAUAAAAGAAUUCCUUAUAAAAGGCUUGUUUUUAAAAUGUGACGCUUAUCCAUUUCGCUUAGGCAAAAGAAACUUCAAGCGGUCAAAUGCAAAAGGCUUUAAAUUUUGCAAAACACUUUGAAUUUUAAAGUGAUCCAAGUUCGUGAUCUCGAAUUUAAAAGUUUCAAAUGCUUUAUCCUUUUUUGGGGGCCGUAGCUCAGCUGGGAGAGCACCUGCUUUGCAAGCAGGGGG
rnacentral:misc_RNA from 1 species